GAUGAACGCUAGCGGCAGGCUUAACACAUGCAAGUCGGAGGGGCAGCACGAUAAAGCUUGCUUUAUUGGUGGCGACCGGCGCACGGGUGCGUAACGCGUAUGCAACCUACCCUGUACUGGAGGAUAGCCCGGAGAAAUUCGGAUUAAUACUCCAUAGUAAUUAUUAACCGCAUGGUUUGAUAAUUUAAAGGUUACGGCAC
rnacentral:rRNA from 1 species